rnacentral:rRNA from 1 species
AUUGAACGCUGGCGGCAGGCCUAACACAUGCAAGUCGAGCGGAUGAAGGGAGCUUGCUCCUGGAUUCAGCGGCGGACGGGUGAGUAAUGCCUAGGAAUCUGCCUGGUAGUGGGGGAUAACGUCCGGAAACGGGCGCUAAUACCGCAUACGUCCUGAGGGAGAAAGUGGGGGAUCUUCGGACCUCACGCUAUCAGAUGAGCCUAGGUCGGAUUAGCUAGUUGGUGGGGUAAAGGCCUACCAAGGCGACGAUCCGUAACUGGUCUGAGAGGAUGAUCAGUCACACUGGAACUGAGACACGGUCCAUACUCCUACGGGAGGCAGCAGUGGGGAAUAUUGGACAAUGGGCGAAAGCCUGAUCCAGCCAUGCCGCGUGUGUGAAGAAGGUCUUCGGAUUGUAAAGCACUUUAAAUUGGGAGGAAGGGCAGUAAGUUAAUACCUUGCUGUUUUGACGUUACCAACAGAAUAAGCACCGGCUAACUUCGUG